ACACGAAGUUUGGGAUGGAGGGGCCCACCCGUUCCCAUCCCGAACACGGUAGUUAAGCUUCUCUGCGCCAAUGGUAGUUGGGGGCUUCCCCCUGCGAGAGUAGGUCGCUGCCGGGC
rnacentral:rRNA from 1 species